rnacentral:rRNA from 1 species
UACGUAGGCAGCGAGCGUUGUUCGGAUUUACUGGGCGUAAAGCGUGCGCAGGCGGUUUUGUAAGUCAGAUGUGAAAUCCCCGGGCUUAACCUGGGAACUGCGUUUGAAACUACAAGGCUAGAGUGUGGCAGAGGGGGGUGGAAUUCCACGUGUAGCAGUGAAAUGCGUAGAGAUGUGGAGGAACACCGAUGGCGAAGGCAGCCCCCUGGGUUAACACUGACGCUCAGGCACGAAAGCGUGGGGAUCAAACAGG